rnacentral:rRNA from 1 species
UACGUAGGGUGCGAGCGUUGUCCGGAAUUAUUGGGCGUAAAGAGCUCGUAGGCGGUUUGUCGCGUCGGCCGUGAAAUCUCCACGCUUAACGUGGAGCGUGCGGUCGAUACGGGCAGACUGGAGUACUGCAGGGGAGACUGGAAUCCUGGUGUAGCGGUGGAAUGCGCAGAUAUCAGGAGGAACACCGGUGGCGAAGGCGGGUCUCUGGGCCGAAAUUGACGCUGAGGAGCGAAAGCGUGGGGAGCAAACAGG